rnacentral:lncRNA from 1 species
GGGGCACGUGGCAGACCCAAAAAUUUUUCUAAAAAAUUGUUGACGUCCGUGACGUCGAGUAGGUCGAUGUGGUAUAUUCACAUACCCAAAUUGAGCACCGUAUGAGAAGUUAUUUCAAAUUGUUGGUUAUGUGUUUUAAUUAACGUUUCUAUAGUUGUUUCGCAUAUAGGUGACACCUAUCCCGAGGACGAGCGCAUCCAGGGACGUCACGGGGGUUACAACCCAUCGACUUACCAGUGAGUGGGCAGUUUUUGUUUUCGUAUAUACCUAUAUACUACUAAUUUCCCAGAAAUUGAAUUUAUAUGAAAAUAUGUUUUAAAAUGCCAUGCAUGCAUAUUAUGAGAUAUUUGAAUUGAUAAUUGAUGCAUAUAUAUAUGAAUUGAUGCUGUGGAUGCACAGGUGAGUUUUACGUUAUUCAUACGAUUUAUUUUAUGUGAAGUGCAUUGAAAGCUCAUAACCUGCACCCUUGGUGUUAGUGCUUAUAUUAUUCACCGCACUGCACGCUCGCCUUGGAUCCAAGUAGGUGAAUGUCGCACAGACCAUGUGCGGGUUCCGACAUGCUAGUCAUAUAGAUCGCUAGAGGUGAUUCCGACUAGUGGGUGACCUUAGUUUAUGCGCGCCGAUGAUUGAUGAGAGAAGCACUAGAGCGUAUUCUUACACCUUUUCAUCGUACAGACUACCUUACGUAGUUCCAAGUGACGUGCAGAGUAGUGCCGUACAGGUCACCGUGGUGACUCCAGCUGGGUUAGAUAUUGAGCUGGAAUUAGCCGUACAGGACCACUGUAGGGUCUCCGGUUAUUUCACUAUAUCACCUGUCAUGUUGAUGCAUCCAUAUUUUUAAUCAUUGACAUUAUUGCUGGCAUAAUUACUGGUUUUUGAUAAAAUUGAUGCUUGAGCAAUUUGAGUAAAUAUUAUGCUAUUAUGUUAAUUUCUGGGAAAGUAUAUAGGUUUUACAGUGAGGGGUUAGAAAUGUUUUAAAUGAAAUGUUUUGGGAAAUCUUUGGUUUUACUGACCCACUCAACUUUGUUUUGCGCCCCUCCAGGUUUUAGUUAGCAGUUGGUGGCUCACGAGGUUCUUUUCGGCAUUCUGACAGACGUCCUGCAUGUAAGACUCACUUGCGGGUGUUGUACUCUUAAUUAUAGUCCUACUUGACUGUACCUAGUAUCUACGCUCUGAAUUUGUGUGUUUUACUUUGUAACUCACUCUUUUAUGCUAGUAGGAUAUUACUGCUAGUGGUUGGUUUAAAUUCCUUCUUAUUUCUCAUAUCUUUUGCUUCCGUGUCGUACUUUUGGCUACGUCACGCUCACUGAAGGAAGAUUUUGUGAAAACAUGUUCAUUUGAACAACAUCAUAUAGCAUGCAAUUAACAAUUAAAGGCGGAAUCAUGCUUGCAUGCACUCAAAAACAAAACAUUACCCAUGAAAUUCAAAGCCUAGUAGAUUGGUGAACCAAAACUCAACUCAAAACAAAGUGAGUCGAAAUCAGACCUUUGUAGAUUCCUCUUUGCAUAAGCAAAGGCUAAUCACCCAAAGAGAGGGCCUUCA